rnacentral:rRNA from 1 species
GAUGAACGCUGGCGGCGUGCCUAAUACAUGCAAGUCGAGCGAACAGACGAGGAGCUUGCUCCUCUGACGUUAGCGGCGGACGGGUGAGUAACACGUGGAUAACCUACCUAUAAGACUGGGAUAACUUCGGGAAACCGGAGCUAAUACCGGAUAAUAUAUUGAACCGCAUGGUUCAAUAGUGAAAGACGGUUUUGCUGUCACUUAUAGAUGGAUCCGCGCCGCAUUAGCUAGUUGGUAAGGUAACGGCUUACCAAGGCAACGAUGCGUAGCCGACCUGAGAGGGUGAUCGGCCACACGGGAACUGAGACACGGUCCAGACUCCUACGGGAGGCAGCAGUAGAGAAUCUUCCGCAAGGGGCGAAAGCCUGACGGAGCAACGCCGCGUGAGUGAUGAAGGUCUUCGGAUCGUAAAACUCUGUUAUUAGGGAAGAACAAAUGUGUAAGUAACUAUGCACGUCUUGACGGUACCUAAUCAGAAAGCCACGGCUAACUACGUG